AAGAACCGAUCAGUUAAUAAGAAGUUAGAAGGGCAUUCAGCACAAGCGGGAAGCGCCGUUGCGAGGGCUCAAUUCGCUUCUUCUCAAUCGAACUCAGAAAUCAAAAUUUCUUCCUAUAAACAAACAGCGAUCAGGGAACUAAAAAUCCUAUCCGAUGCGCGACAAAUCAGAGAUCGCCUCCAUGUUCCACUUCCACCAAACAGGGGAAGAAGUGAGGUCUAGACUGCUGAAUAAAUUGCUGAAGAUAAAAGAAGAUGAAGCGGCGACCACGAUGGACGUGGACGUACAUGACGAGGGGGAGAUUUCAGCCGACGACAAGCUCGCCGACGCCGAUUUCUUCAACGCUUUCCAGGACGAUUUUGAUGACUCCGAUAUCAAAUAAAAUUCAAUCCGAUCCGAUUCGAUUCAAUUCCGGUGGUUUCAUCCAAAAGAAGUAAUCGAUUUACCAACUGUAUGUUUACUUCUGCUUCUGUUGAUGAUGAAACAAGAUGUGUGAUAGAUUCUAGUAUAUGCCAUUUCCAUUUUUAGCGUUUUAGGGAUUUCAGCGCUUCAGAAGAAUUGACAUUUUUUGAUAUUGAUUACUUUCUUGAGUUCUUGAUGUGGCA